AAAUAUGCAGCAGGUGACGAGGCCUUCGGGAUGUGAAAUUAAAGAAUCCCUGAGAACCAAAUUUAUGGGCAGUUUGGGAAUCAGGAGCUGGCGGAACAAGUACAGCAUGGCCAGGCCACUUCUCAUUGACCUUAUAAAGCGUUGCAUAAUCUUCAGCAAUGACAAGGACCUUGUCUUGAUGCUUUUGCCUUACAAUACUAAUCAACCAGUUGUUAAGGAAGGGCAAGUAAGGCUGGCUAACUGCACAAACAAUCACAGUCCCAUUCUUGGCCACAAAAGACACAGCUUGGGCCAGAGUGUACUGACGCCAUUUGCUAAGAGAGGGUUUAGUCACCGAGAAGAUACCCUGGGGCAUCCCCGUCCACGGCAUGAAUACUCCCAGAAUUAGCAUAAGAGAGAACAAAACUAUGAGGCCAGUGCGGCUAAAAAUUGAAAUUUGCCUUUGGGAAUUGGAGGAAUAGGGUGGUGAUAAUGGGUGGUAUGGAUCGGAAAGCGUAGUUUGGAGAGUCCUUUGGUGCAAAAAAGAUGGCAUUGUGUAGCUAUAUUGUACCUAUUUACAGGCGAGAAUGGAUUUGCAGUGGAGUUCAGAUUCCAAAAGGGUGUGCGGAUGGAGUAUUACAAUGGUUUCAGGAGCAAGAUGUAUUGAGAUCGGAUCUGUAAUUCUGUUCAUGGAUUGCGGAGUGAAAAACGGUGAGC
rnacentral:misc_RNA from 1 species